rnacentral:tRNA from 1 species
GCUCCUAUCGUCUAGUCCGGCCAAGGACGCGGGGCUUUCAACCCUGCAACUCGGGUUCAAAUCCCGAUGGGAGCACCA